AAUGUAUGGUGAGGGUAUUUCCUAGGCAUUUCCUUAAAUCUCUCCAAAUUUUCAUACAUUAACUCACCCUAAAAUUAGGCAAAAGAUUUGAUAUCAUUUCUAAGUUU